ACUCCUACGGGAGGCAGCAGUGGGGAAUUUUGGACACUGGGGGCAACCCUGAUCCAGCAAUGCCGCGUGAGUGAAGAAGGCCUUCGGGUUGUAAAGCUCUUUUGUCAGGGAAGAAACGGUGGUGGCGAAUAACUACUACUAAUGACGGUACCUGAAGAAUAAGCACCGGCUAACUACGUGCCAGCAGCCGCGGUAAUACGUAGGGUGCAAGCGUUAAUCGGAAUUACUGGGCGUAAAGCGUGCGCAGGUGGUUGUGUAAGUCAGAUGUGAAAUCCCCGGGCUCAACCUGGGAAUUGCAUUUGAGACUGCACGGCUAGAGUGUGUCAGAGGGGGGUAGAAUUCCACGUGUAGCAGUGAAAUGCGUAGAUAUGUGGAGGAAUACCGAUGGCGAAGGCAGCCCCCUGGGAUAACACUGACGCUCAUGCACGAAAGCGUGGGGAGCAAACAGGAUUAGAAACCCGGGUAGUCCCAUGA
rnacentral:rRNA from 1 species